AUUGAACGCUGGCGGCAGGCCUAACACAUGCAAGUCGAACGAGUGGCGGACGGGUGAGUAAUGUCUGGGAAACUGCCCGAUGGAGGGGGAUAACUACUGGAAACGGUAGCUAAUACCGCAUACCAUCGGAUGUGCCCAGAUGGGCUUAGCUAGUAGGUGGGGUAACGGCUCACCUAGGCGACGAUCCCUAGCUGGUCUGAGAGGAGGACCAGCAAAACGGGAACUGAGACACGGUCCAGACGCUUACGGGAGGCAGAAGUGGGGAAUAUUGCACAAUGGGCGAAAGCCUGAUGCGGGCAGGCCGCGUGUAUGAAGAAGGCCUUGGGGUUGAAAAGUACUUUCAGCGAGGAGGCGUUACUCGCAGAAGAAGCACCGGCUAACUCCGUGCCAGCAGCCGCGGUAAUUC
rnacentral:rRNA from 1 species